rnacentral:rRNA from 1 species
CAGCAGCAGCCGCGGUAAUACAGAGGGUGCGAGCGUUAAUCGGAUUUACUGGGCGUAAAGCGUGCGUAGGCGGCUUCUUAAGUCGGAUGUGAAAUCCCUGAGCUUAACUUAGGAAUUGCAUUCGAUACUGGGAAGCUAGAGUAUGGGAGAGGAUGGUAGAAUUCCAGGUGUAGCGGUGAAAUGCGUAGAGAUCUGGAGGAAUACCGAUGGCGAAGGCAGCCAUCUGGCCUAAUACUGACGCUGAGGUACGAAAGCAUGUGGAGCAAACAGGAUUAGAUACCCCUGUAGUCCCUGUCUCUUAUAC